AAGUCGAACGGGGAUACGAGAGCUUGCUUUUGUAUCUUAGUGGCGGACGGGCGAGUAACGCGUGAGCAACCUGCCCUUCAGUGGGGAAUAACGUCUGGAAACGGACGCUAAUACCGCAUAACACAACGGAGCCGCAUGACUUUGUUGUCAAAGGAUUUAUUCGCUGAAGGAUGGGCUCGCGUCCGAUUAGCUAGAUGGUGAGGUAACGGCCCACCUAGUCUUCGAUGGAUAGGGGUUCUGAGAGGAAGGUCCCCACAUUGGAACUGAGACACGGUCCAAACUCC
rnacentral:rRNA from 1 species